rnacentral:rRNA from 1 species
GGACAUCUCAGUUCGGAUUGUAGUCUGCAACUCGACUACAUGAAGCUGGAAUCGCUAGUAAUGGCAGGUCAGCAUACUGCCGUGAAUACGUUCCCGGGCCUUGUACACACCGCCCGUCACACCAUGAGAGUUGGAGAUACCCGAAGCCUAUGAGCUAACUUUUAGAGGCAGUAGUCGAAGGUAGAAUCAAUGAUUGGGGUGAAGUCGUAACAAGGUAUC